UGUGCAGAGCUGUCUGCAGCCCAUUCUGAAAGUUUCAGUCACCCAACCACCACUUCUUUCCUCUGCCCCUCCUGGCCACUCCCUUCUGCCACUGUCCAAAGGAGUGCACCCACCAACUCCCUACUCUUGUGCCUUCUCUUCAGGGACACGGCUGAGCACUCAGGAUGUCACUGCUGCAAGCAGUCACCUUCUUCUCCUUCUGGACUUUUGGACUUGGAGUAACAAAAAUGGAGCAGUCUCAGGUAUCUGUUUCCACAGAAGUAAAGAAAAGUGUUGAUUUACAUUGCCAGACAUGGGAUGACCAGUUUGAUACUACGACCAUUCACUGGUACCUGCAGAAACCAAAUCAAGCUUUGGAGCAUCUGAUUCAAGUAACCACCACAAGAACCCCAACUCGAGCAAAGAACAACAGAGUUUUAGCAAAGAAAGAUCCUGCAACUCUCUCCUCAACCCUUACAAUAAAUUAUGUAGAAAAAGAAGAUGAGGCGAUGUACUACUGUGCUGGGUGGGAUUAUGCUGAGAAAAUCUUUGGUGGAGGAACAAAACUUAUUGUUACAGAUAAAGUGCUUGACGAAGACAUUUCCCCCAAGCCCUCUAUGUUUCUUCCUUCAGUGAGUGAAACAAAUGUUGAUAAGGCUGGGACAUAUAUUUGUCUCUUGGAGAAAUUUUUUCCUGAACCUAUUAAGGUAUCUUGGAAGGAAAAGGAUAAUGAUGGCAUUCUGGAAUCCCAGCAGGGAGAUACAGUGAAGAUUAACAACACCUACAUGAAACUUAGCUGGUUAACCGUGACUGGAGACUCCAUGAGUAAAGAGCACAAAUUUAUUGUCAAACAUGAGAAUAAUAAAGGAAGAGGUGAUCAGGAGAUUGUCUUCCCUCCAAUAAAGAAAGUCACAACUUCUGAAGUUUGCUUGAAAAAUGAAAAUGGUUUGCUGGGCGUGCAGCUCACCAGCACCUCUGCCUACUACACCUACCUCCUACUGCUGCUCAAGAGCGCCCUCCAUGGAGCCUUCAUCCUCACCGCUUUUCUGGGCAGAUGGUCGGCUGUUUGCAGGGACAGGAAGAGAACCUGACAGAUAGAGGCAUACAGGGCUAUGGUCUCCACUGUUUCCUGUCUCCAGCAGCAUCUGCUAAGGUUGGGCAUGGUUUGCUAGGCUCCAGCUCCUGAAGGCGAUGUGCAUAUUAUUCUGUCAUUAUCACAUAGGGGCUUUCCAACUUCACUGUCACAGCAAGGCUUAGCUCAUAGCACUGAAACCACAUCUCUCUUUGGUCCCCAUAGGCCAUCCAGCUGGCCCAGGUCCUCACAACCUUGACAUGCACAGUUCACCACUUCUGGUCAGGUGCCCAGUGCCCUUGCACCAGGUCACCCCUGGAAGCCUACACUCUACUCACCUUGACAGAGCCUUCUUGGCUAUUGAAUUCCAUGCUUUGCUUUUCAUGGCUGACAGAGUAAAUAAAAACUAUCAAGACAGUUCCUUGGGCUGUGGAUACUUCAAUUUGAUGAUACUGAAUUAACAAGAAGAUGAGAAUAGCAUGACAACUGGGACCUGGCCUUCAGAGCUGAUGGAUACCAAGGGUCCAGUACCACAGUUGUAUUUCUGUCCCUGUGGUGGUGAUUUAUGUCUCUUUCUUUGGGGCACUGACUCUAGGAGAAACCACUGACAAAUGAAGAUGAACACAUCACUGUUCUCUUCGGGGUCUCCAGGUUCAGGUUCAUUUAGUUUGAGACAUUCAGUGGCCAUAGUGAAAUGUCCAAUGUGCUUGGCAUCCUGAGUGCUCAGCUCUGCGCUAGUGUUCACAGUAUCAAGUGUCCUCCUCCUCACAAUGCUCCCCUGAGAGAGAGACACCAGCCCCAGGGUGACACCAGCCUAAGGCAGCAUGACAAGGUGUUGAGCACACAGACUCUGGACCCAGACAGCCUAUGUUUAAAUCUUGGAUCUGGAAUUUAGUAUCUGUGUGACCUUUAGCUCUUUAAUCUCUCUAUGCCUUAAUUUUUGCUGGACAAUGAAGUUAGCAUGCAAACACAAAAGUAAAAAUUGUUACUUGUUUCCUUCAUGUCUAUGUAAUUUGAAUCUAAAUGAAUAAAUUAUAUUCUGCACCAGGCCCAGGCAAUGUGUGUCAGAAAGUGUGUGGAACAAUUGUUGUAUAGAAGCACAUUGUUGAACUCUCUGAAAACUAAUGUCAAUCUCCCAUUCACUGAAUGUUAAUGUUCUCUAUUAAUCUGUGUUCAGACGGACCCAGAAGUCAUUUUGGCUCUCUAAGGGGACUCCAGGUUAUUCAGUGUAUGUCUUUCUGUUAUAUAGCUGAAGCAAGAGCUUCCACAUCUUUGAGCUCCUGAAGCGCAUAAUUCUCACACAUAGCUACAUCUAUCUAUGCCAGUAGGUUCAUAGACAUAGUUCAUAUGCUACUUUGUUGACAAUGAGAACAUCAAACUAAAAGAAAUCAGAAUCCUUACACUGAAUACCUGGAAAAAGUACAGGUACUUGGUAGAAUGUUCUGGAUAAUCCUGAGUUGCCAAUUGUUCCUUCCUCCAGCACAAGGUCAGGGCAGUGACAGAAGGAGCAGUAUCCACACAGUUCUUCGCACCAGGUUCCCAACUCCCACAGCAGUUAAUGUCCUUUCUGUGUUCCAUGUAGGACGCCCACCCACCCACCCACAGCAUGGAACAGAAGGUUGAUGGCAGUCGCACAUGUGUGGAGGUGGAUAUUUUCUUUGCAUUCAUUAGCUGUGACUUUUCAAAAGUGAGGCAGGUUGGCUGUGGUUUAACUGUGCUCGGUUUCCCUUCUAACACCUUCACCACUCCUUGUGCUGCCCCAACCAGUCAGAGCCGGUUUGUCUUUGAGCCUCUUCCAAGAAUCAACCACAUUCGACAGAGCACAGAAACAGAACAAGCCUGAGAAAAUGAAGCCCCACCAGCCACACCAGUGCCUCCUGUCACCCACUGUGUCCCUGCCUCCCCAGGCCUCUGCUUUGUGCUGCUGAAUUUUAGAGCAGCCCAGGUGGAUAGGGAAGGAGGAUGCUGAGAGUUCUCAACCCCUGGGAACCCUACCUGGGGCCUCCUGUGACAUCAGCCCCACAAAGCUGUGGGUGGUGUGAUUAUUUCCUCUCUGGUGCUGUGCAUUUGCAGUGCAGAAAUAGCUCCACUCUCUGCGUAGAGGGCAGGGAUUGGUCUAAGGUCUGGGUUCACAGGAAUCAGGGAGUCGAUUUCAAUUACAUUUGGUGUUUCUUCAAUCUGAGUGGUCUUAUUUUAUUUCCAAAUGAAAACCUCUGCUUGUCAUCCAAAAGAAUCUGUUUCAUAGCAACUGAAAAACAAUUAAACAAAACUUUGCUAAUGUCAAUAUGACAUUGUCUUAAUUCUAAUGCACUUAAGUUUUUAACUUUGAGAGGAUUCAUUAAAGAAAGCAGUAAAAUACAAACUUAUUUUAUUAUCCACCCAUGGUACUUUGAACAUUUUGUUUCAUAUUUUGGCUUGCACAAAUGCAGACACACAGGAAGCAGGCGUCAGUCUUGUUAGUAUUAUUACUUAGUAGGAAACACUGUCAGAGGGCAUGAACAAAUUUGCAGUGAACUACAAACAGACCUUAAACAUAUGAACAGAUGCUUGUCCUCACUCAUAAAUGGAGAAAAGCAAAAUAAAUCUACACAAGAUCCUAUUUUUCGGGGCUGGGGAUUUAGCUCAGCGGCAAAGCGCCUGCCUGGCAAGCGCAAGGUCGUGAGUUCGGUUCCCGGUACCGGAGAAAAGAUCCUAUUUUUCACUUGCCAAAUUCACAAAACCGUGACAUUUGCCAGCCCACUCCGGCAUUCCCACACAUGGUGGUAGAAAAGCAGAAUGGGGCAGCCUAUGCAGGACAAGCUGUCACUGUGUACUAUCAACAUACACAUUCACAGUGAUGUAAAGCUCCUUAUUUAUGUCAGCAUUUUCAUAGAAUCAAAUUAGGGGAAAUUAAUCAACCAUCUAUUGGAGAAAGCUGAUGAAAUAAAGUAUUUUAGUUUUACCAAUGAGCUAUAUUGUGGCUAUCUAAGUAUUUCAAUACACUAACAUUAAAAGAGCUUUUCUAUUUGCAAAUAAGAAAGGUAGAUAUGUAUAUUGUAUACAACAUUUGUACAAAGAGAGAAGAUGGAAACCUACAUAUGUACACUCUACGUUUUUUUUUACAAAAGUGAGUGUAUCUAAAAAUAUUUUUUGAAUGAGAUUUUUGAACAAUGUGAAUGUAUCAUCUAAAAAUGUUAGUAAAUUAUUGUUGUGUAUAUUGUUUCAA